rnacentral:lncRNA from 1 species
GCCUAAGGCCAGUCUGAUAUGAGCUCAACUCACCACCUGGAAAGCAGAAACGCUUUUUAUGUCUCAAGAAGUUGGCUGAUCCAGAAUCUUUCUGAUUGUGCCUGGAUUAUGUUUGCAGCAGAUUCAGCCUUGUGCAGCAGGCCAAGGAUGGUACAAUUGGGGCUGCCUGACCAAACCAAUCCACUCCACCUGGGUAAGGAGUGAGUGUCGGGAUGUCGCCCCUUAUCCUGAAGCGGCUGUUCCCAGGAGGGGACACGCUGAGCCCUGUGCGAGCACCAGGAUCCUGGAAAUCCCUGGAGUCCGGGAACGGCACCACAGGACACAGAGCCCGAAGUCAGGGCCACGCACUGUAAACUGCUCUGGGAAUAAAGGCACUGCAUAAAUC